rnacentral:lncRNA from 1 species
UCAUGGCACACGCUAAACUAGGUCACAUUAAAUUUUUCAAAACUUCAUCUCGUGCACGCACCACAGUAGUUAACUAAGAUCAGUUUGGGUGACAAAGGGAGGCAAUUUGCAGAAGAGGCAGAGUUAUGUCUGUUCCCUAAUUUUCUUGACAUGUAAACAGAAAACCAGCUCUCUUUCCUCUGAAGAAUCAUCAAAGGACAGGGCUGUUAAAAAAAAAAAAAAACACAACUUGCUGGUAAGCCAUCAGUGUUUCAUUUAAAUCCCAGCAUUCAAAGUUAGCUGCCUUUUUUGAAACAAACAAACAAAAACUACUACUGUAUGUUUGAAAAUGUGAAUAGUAUUUUUAUAGCUUGUUAAAGACAUGGCUAGCUGCAUUUGUAAAUAGGGAUAAUGUUGCUUUGAUUUUCUUUGAUGAGCAUCUUUAUUUGGAACAUAAUUGUCUUUAGGGUUGAUUUGUAUAUAAGUAAUUGGCUUGUGAUUGUUUCUCUUUUGGUUAGAAGUUAUCGUUUUGACAUUACCUGUGAUUCUGUGUUCAGCACUAUUGUGAUGUGUCCAACCUCUGCACUCGCUUACACAAUAGGAUAUGCCAAUUGUGUGUGGUGAAAUGUUAUUUUCAUUUUUUUCUAUUUUAUCUAUGAAGGAUUAUGCACUUAACACAUACUAACUUUUUUAAUGUUAGGUCUAUUUUUAGUAUAAUUUCCCGAUUCUUCUCCAACCCUUCAGCUUCUUUUCCCUCCUUUCCCUAUUUUCUGUUGUUAUAGAGGAUGAGGGAGAAAAUGUAUUUUAAAUGGAUGUAAUUAGGCUUUUUGAGGUAGUUCUCAAGGAUCCUCUUUUGACUCUUGGGAAAGAAUUGUGCGUGCACAAGGCAAAUAUAGAAUGCGAGCUGCUUUGCCUCAUUCCGUACUGAUCAUCCCAAAUGAACAAUUUGAAAACUGUUCUGCCUUUUUGUUACAUGAAUCUGUCAGAAAUAUAUUUUUAAUUUAAUAUAAACGAAAUUCAAUAAAAUAUGAAAC